rnacentral:tRNA from 1 species
GGUGCUGUGGCUUAGUAGGUUAAGCAUCUGCCUGUGGCACUGGCAUCCCAUAUGGGUGCUGGUUCGAGUCCAGGUUGCACUA